rnacentral:rRNA from 1 species
GACGAACGCUGGCGGCGUGCUUAACACAUGCAAGUCGAACGGAAAGGCCCUGCUUUUGUGGGGUGCUCGAGUGGCGAACGGGUGAGUAACACGUGAGUAACCUGCCCUUGACUUUGGGAUAACUUCAGGAAACUGGGGCUAAUACCGGAUAGGAGCUCCUGCUGCAUGGUGGGGGUUGGAAAGUUUCGGCGGUUGGGGAUGGACUCGCGGCUUAUCAGCUUGUUGGUGGGGUAGUGGCUUACCAAGGCUUUGACGGGUAGCCGGCCUGAGAGGGUGACCGGCCACAUUGGGACUGAGAUACGGCCCAGACUCCUACGGGAGGCAGCAGUGGGGAAUAUUGCACAAUGGGCGGAAGCCUGAUGCAGCAACGCCGCGUGCGGGAUGACGGCCUUCGGGUUGUAAACCGCUUUCGCCUGUGACGAAGCGUGAGUGACGGUAAUGGGUAAAGAAGCACCGGCUAACUACGUGCCAGCAGCCGCGGUGAUACGUAGGGUGCGAGCGUUGUCCGGAUUUAUUGGGCGUAAGGGCUCGUAGGUGGUUGAUCGCGUCGGAAGUGUAAUCUUGGGGCUUAACCCUGAGCGUGCUUUCGAUACGGGUUGACUUGAGGAAGGUAGGGGAGAAUGGAAUUCCUGGUGGAGCGGUGGAAUGCGCAGAUAUCAGGAGGAACACCAGUGGCGAAGGCGGUUCUCUGGGCCUUUCCUGACGCUGAGGAGCGAAAGCGUGGGGAGCGAACAGGCUUAGAUACCCUGGUAGUCCACGCUGUAAACGGUGGGUACUAGGUGUGGGGUCCAUUCCACGGGUUCCGUGUCGUAGCUAACGCUUUAAGUACCCCGCCUGGGGAGUACGGCCGCAAGGCUAAAACUCAAAGGAAUUGACGGGGCCCCGCACAAGCGGCGGAGCAUGCGGAUUAAUUCGAUGCAACGCGUAGAACCUUACCUGGGUUUGACAUGGAUCGGGAGUGCUCAGAGAUGGGUGUGCCUCUUUUGGGGUCGGUUCACAGGUGGUGCAUGGCUGUCGUCAGCUCGUGUCGUGAGAUGUUGGGUUAAGUCCCGCAACGAGCGCAACCCUUGUUCACUGUUGCCAGCACGUUAUGGUGGGGACUCAGUGGAGACCGCCGGGGUCAACUCGGAGGAAGGUGGGGAUGACGUCAAGUCAUCAUGCCCCUUAUGUCCAGGGCUUCCCGCAUGCUACAAUGGCUGGUACAGAGAGUGGCGAGCCUGUGAGGGUGAGCGAAUCUCGGAAAGUCGGUCUCAGUUCGGAUUGGGGUCUGCAACUCGACCUCAUGAAGUCGGAGUCGCUAGUAAUCGCAGAUCAGCAACGCUGCGGUGAAUACGUUCCCGGG